UGGUGAAAAAAAGGGGCGUUUAUUUCAACGACUACUGUAGCUUUAAGAGAAUUAUCGACCAUCAUCACACUCCAGCCAAGCAACGUAGUUCCCCACCACAGCAGCAGCGGAUUAAUAUCCAAAACGUUAACAGGUUAGUGUCUGCUCAGCAGGUGGAUGAACAUGUAAUGGAGUUGCAGCAUCAGUCGCUGACCAAGGAAUUACUGGGGAAGUUGGUGGUAGAGGGAGGCUAUUGACAUGUCACAGGAAGAUGCUCAAAAAUGUAGAGCACAUGGAGAAGAUCUCUAUGCUGGCUUUCCAUCCAGUUAAGAUGCACAGCUGCUAUGAGAAGGUGGUGAACCUGAGCCUUGAGGGUCUGCAUCAACAGUUUGACCAAAUGGACAAUGCUGUGUAGAUGUUUGAGCAGAUCCUUCAUCAGAGUCUCGAGUCUCAGGGUACAGAGGAGCUGUGUAAGAUCAUCCAGCACUGCCAGGACAGAGUCAUUAAGGUAAUACCCAAAGAAAACAGGCUUGUGCAUCAAAUUCUUGCAUAACAUCCACAUUAAUAUCUCAUAAUAUUACAUCUGGCAUACUCCAGCCCUGGGAGUGAAACUUUUGGUCUGGCCUUGUUUUAGUGUAAAAGAAAAUUCAGGGUUUUGUUUCACUUCAGAUGAGCACAAAUUAAGACGUCAGGAAACGUAAGUGACUGCCACUGCCUGUGUCACUCCUACACAAGGUGUAGCUAUUGUAAAACAAGAUGUGAGUCAGUAUAUGAAAUCAGUGUUUUUCUCUUUCUCGUUCUUAAAUAUGAUGUCAUCAUCCCAGUUUCUUGAAUGUCUAAUGAACUAAACAUCAUUUAGCGAGAUAACCACGUCCUGUGCCAAAUUAAUAAAAUGCACAUGGAAAGAGUGACACCACUAUUGUUCAUGAAAGAUUGCACCAAAACAACUCAAAAUGAAGUAAACUUAUUUCAAUUGUACCGGUUUUCUUAA